GCUUCAGGUGGCUCAGUUGGGGAGAGUGGGGUGCUAUGAACGCCAAGGUUUCACGUUCGAAUCCCCAUCUGGGACA